rnacentral:rRNA from 1 species
CUACGGGGUGCAGCAGUGGGGAAUAUUGGACAAUGGGGGAAACCCUGAUCCAGCAAUGCCGCGUGUGUGAAGAAGGCCUGCGGGUUGUAAAGCACUUUCGGUUGGGAGGACUGCUUCUAGCACUAAUAUUGUUGGAAGUUGACGUUACCUUCAGAAGAAGCGCCGGCUAACUCCGUGCCAGCAGCCGCGGUAAUACGGAGGGUGCAAGCGUUAAUCGGAAUUACUGGGCGUAAAGCGCGCGUAGGCGGCUAGAUCAGUCGGGUGUGAAAGCCCCGGGCUUAACCUGGGAACUGCAUCCGAUACUGUCUAGCUUGAGUACAGGAGAGGAGAGUGGAAUUCCACAUGUAGCGGUGAAAUGCGUAGAUAUGUGGAGGAACACCAAUGGCGAAGGCAGCUCUCUGGCCUGAUACUGACGCUGAGGUGCGAAAGCGUGGGGAGCAAGCAGGAUUAGAUACCCGCGUAGUC